UCUCAUCUCUCUGUCUCCCCGCCACUCCCCACGGUGGCUCCGCCGGCCAAAAAUUGCCGACACCGGUGGAUGUCACCUAAAGACCAAAACAUUCUUAUCAUCUCUUCCUCUCACUCCCCUCAUUCCAAAUCCAAAACCCAGAUCUCCACCAAUAAUCAACAAAAUCAAACCCUAGUCGCGCAUUCACCAUCGCCGCCCAUUGUCCAAACUACACCAAAAUUGCGCAACCUCCUCUUCUUCUUCCCCUCUCUCCAUAUCUCAAACUCAAAUCCUCAAAAAGCCUCAAAACCACCGGUAGACACCCCCACUGCCCGACAUCCGGCCACUGCUGCCCACUACAACACUGCUCGCCACUGCCUCAACCACCUAAGACCAUCAGAGGCCCUUUAUUUUUAGACUAUCCCCGACUAAAAAUGCUCGUUUCUCUCUUGCAAAAUGCUAGAACUCAUUGGUUUUGGCGUGUGAUCCCCGGAAUCCGUCUCUUUGCUCGAUUUGGCAUUGAAUCUCUCUGUACG
rnacentral:lncRNA from 1 species